GCUGGGCGUAGUGGUGCGUGCCUGUAGUCCCAGCUACUUGGGAGGCUGAGGCAGGAGAAUCACUUGAACACGGGAGGUGGAGGUUGCAGUGAGCCAAGAUGGCACCACUGCACUCCACCCUGGUGACAGAGCGAGACUCCGUCUCAAAAAAAAAAAAAAAAAAGAGAGACGGAGUUUCACUCUUGUCGCCCAGGAUGGCAUGCAGCAACACGAUCUCUGCUCACUGCAACCUCUGCCUCCUGGGUUCAAGCGAUUCUCCUGCCUCA
rnacentral:sRNA from 1 species